GAGUCCAAGAAUUUUUGUGAGAGGGCCAGUACUGACAAUGAGGUGGUUGAUUUUUCCUCAAAAUACAAAGCUAUUUUGCCAAAGUCAAAAGGUCAUGAAGACAAAAACUUCACAGCAGCAAGAAAGUUCCUAUCUUUUGGAGGGAAUGAUUACUCAAGUCAAAAUGAAGAUGACAAAUCCAAAUAUCUGGAUCUACAUCCAUUGCCCUCUGGAGACAAUCUUUUUAAAG